GACGGAAGGGGGCUAGCGUUGUUCGGAAUUACUGGGCGUAAAGCGCGUGUAGGCGGUUGUUCAAGUCAGGUGUGAAAGCCUUGAGCUCGAACUCAAGAAAUGCACUUGAUACUGGAUAACUGAGAGGACCGGAGAGGAUAGUGGAAUUCCAGUGUAGUGGUGAAAUACGUAGAGAUUGGGAAGAACACCAGUGGCGAAGGCGGCUAUCUGGACGGUUCUGACGCU
rnacentral:rRNA from 1 species